CUGUUUUAAGGCACAAAUCAAGGUCUCUUCUUUUGUUUAAGAAAGAUAUAUAAGAAAUCAAAGCAAAGGGAAAAGCACCCCAAAACUGAAGCAAAGGUAGUGGUGGGAUGAAGUUGAAGAAAUAGGAUUGAGUUGCAGCGCAUGAUAUGAACAGAAAUCCACUAAAUCCAAAAUAGAGUCACUCGGAUAAGCUGAAACGGAUUUUUUGUUUUAAUGUUUGAAUUUAUUUGGAAAUUUUUAUUAUUUUU